GACGAGCCUCACAAACGUUAUUCGGAAUUACUGGGCUUAAAGGGUGCGUAGGCGGCGCGGAAAGUUGGGUGUGAAAUCCCUCAGCUUAACUGAGGAAGGGCGCCCAAAACUACCGUGCUCGAGGGAGAUAGAGGAGUGCGGAACUUAGGGUGGAGCGGUGAAAUGCGUUGAUAUCCUAGGGAACACCGGUGGCGAAAGCGGCACUCUGGAUCUCUUCUGACGCUGAGGCACGAAAGCUAGGGUAGCAAACGGG
rnacentral:rRNA from 1 species